UGGGCUGGGAGGGAGGGAGAGAGAGUCGCCAGCUUGGGAAGCGAAGCCAUGGGCGGGAAUCCAGAUGAUUAAGCUUGGAACAAAUGACACCCAGUUCUCCUCUCCCAGCAAUCCUUCUGCUUACCUGAUUCAGUUCCACUCCAUCACAAAAGGGAAGAAACAACUGAGGAUUCAGCAACAACAUCAUGUCAGCUCCUGGGAGAAAGAGCAAGGGUGGGAAAGCUGAUCACAUAAACAUGUCUCAGAGGUUACAAUUACAGUCACUUGGUCCGUUACCGUUCUGUCAAGAUUAGACAGUAAAUAAAUGCAGCACCAAUUUAGGGUUCUUUGUG